UACGUAUGGUGCAAGCGUUAUCCGGAUUUACUGGGUGUAAAGGGAGCGCAGGCGGAAGGCUAAGUCUGAUGUGAAAGCCCAGGGCUCAACCCCGGUACUGCAUUGGAAACUGGUCAUCUAGAGUGUCGGAGGGGUAAGUGGAAUUCCUAGUGUAGCGGUGAAAUGCGUAGAUAUUAGGAGGAACACCAGUGGCGAAGGCGGCUUACUGGACGAUAACUGACGCUGAGGCUCGAAAGCGUGGGGAGCAAACAGG
rnacentral:rRNA from 1 species